ensembl:lncRNA
UAUAUAUAUGUAUACAUACACAUAUAUAUAUAUAUAUAUAUAUAUAUAUAUAUAUAUAUAUAUAUAUAUAUAUGUAUAAUAGAGCAUGUGAAACACUAGCAUCAUUCCAGGUAUGUACCGAUGUAAACCUUUGAUGGACAGAUUAUUUUGCCUUCUGUCCCCGCUGUGUUGUCGAGCCAGCAAGGCCAGAGUCACGUCUACAGUUCCAGCAUCAUGCCAUUAGGCCGUGGUUAAAUCCGAUCGCGCUUCGCCCGGCAAUGUUCUUGCGUUCGCUAAGACUGCAUUAACAGUAAACCGCAUAUGUCGGCUCAAUCGGAAAUUACCUACCUUUUAAAAAGGGCACUUUAGCAACCUUUAAAUGGAACUUAGCCACCUUUAAAUGGCGAAGGGAUUGAAUCCUGGCCUAAGUCCACUGAUUAGUAGCUGGAGUGUCACGUCAUAAACCUUCCCCAAUGAGUGUUACUUCAUAAAACCUCCCCAAUCACUCGGGACAUGACAAAAGAUGAAAUGACCAGUAGAACUAUCAAAUAUUUGUGAAGUCAUUUCUUUGAAUAUUACUUUCGUACCGUGGAAUAAGCCAACCAAUCUGAAUUAAUAUAUCUUGGGGCUCCCCCGACAUAACAGUUUUAAUAAAUUGUAUUGGAAGUUUGUGAAUAACUACUAUCCACGAUCAUUAGACUUUAAUGUAAAUGACUCUAUAUUCUUAUAUACAUUUGAUUGUACUUAAAACAGUGCAAUUUUGUCCUUGGCUAUCUGAAUAUUACGUUUCCACACUGACAAUUAGCCAUUGACAUGGAAUAACACACAAGUAGCAGUUUAUGUAUAGACUGUAGUUUUCACACAAAAAAAACCAAUGCAAUUGAGUCAGAAUAUGUGUAAAGUAUAUUACUGUAAAAUACUGUCAAAACAAUCCUUAUUCAUGCAUUAGCUCCCUCAAUACUUUCACUAAUUCUAUUAAAAAACUAUUGUUAGUCAAUGAAAAUGUAACAUUUUACACUUUAUUUUAUUUAAUUUCCACUAAUUGCUAUGAUUACUAUAUAUUUUUUUACAAUGCACCCAAGAAAAACUGCAAAUCUAGAAAAUGUUUUCCUUCUCAAUAUAUAUUGGUGUUUUAACUAACACUUUCUGUUUACUGUAUAAAACAGGCUGCUUAUAAAUAUCUAUUUUUGGAGCAAAACAAAUAUAAUCAAACAUUAUGUCCACAGGUCCUCCUCUUAGAAGAACCUCUUAGACAGAGAUCGUACUUGAGAAGAACAAGUUUUCCUCUUAGACAGUCAGAUCGUACUUGAGAAGGUUUUCGUGGUUGAUGACAGAAUUGUUAAGAUUAUCUACGACGACGCUGAAGAUUCCUACUGAUGCUACUAUUGCUAUUGUUGGUGUGCGUGUAACAGCUACUGCUAAUACCGUUAACUAUUGUGUGUUAACUAGUGUUUUUUUUUUUUUUAAAUGUUGUAUUGUGUUUUAAGAUGCGAUUUGUUUAUUUGGUUGGUCAGGUAACCAAUGGAACUUUUGGGCCAUGUUCAGUUGCCAAACGUUAUUGAAUGUCGCAGAUAGAAAUGCCAUUCAUAGAGCCGCCAUGAUGCCUUAUUCCACAUACACUAUCAGAGAGGCAUUUGUCUGUUCUACAUAGCAUUAUUUAUAUCUGAACGUUCCAAAACGUUGCAUACUGUUGUCUGAACGCGCCCUGUAUUUGAUGUCAGUGUACAGUUACUCACUAGCCAGAGGCACUAAUACCCGCUUGCUAAAUAACCUACAGUAGGUGAUCGUAUUAAAUAACUGGACUAACACACAACACACACACACACACACACACACACACACACACACACACACACACACACACACACACACACACACACACACACACACACACACACACACACACACACACACACACACACACCCACACAAACACACACACACACACACAGCAUCUCCUUAGUGUGGAGGUGUUGCUUAGGUCAUACAUUUUGUAGUUUUGCACACAGGCCAUCCGUUAGUGCCUCUCGUCCAAUCCCACUGCAGUCCCGCCCCUCUUCCUGAAUCCCUGCAUCCCAUUGGUUCCACUCUGCACCCCACUGGUCUCACUCUGCACCCCCACCCUGGACCCUCGCCUUUCCCUUCCCCAGACCGUCUCCCGCACCAGUACCCUCUCCCGCUUUCUGAUUGGCUGGCCCAGGGCUGACUGAGACUCUGUUCUAUAGCACAGCCUUUCAUCUAAGACUGCUCUGCCCCCCCACCCCCGCACUUCAAUGCAUCCUGGCAUUACACCCUCUGUACACCAGAUGCUGUCAUGCUCUGUGGGGAGGCUUAUGUAAGAUAUAGGAAGGAGAGAGGGAUAGAGGGAUGGAGACUAGAGAUCAAGAGACCAUGGAUCUAGGUUUUAAGUGGUCAUUGUAUUGAUGUCUCUCGCUCUCUCUCUGAACAGAAAUGAAACGUCUUCUCUAUAUGAUAUUGUGAUUCCUGCAUGUCUCACUGAAUGGAGCUGUUUUACAAACAUAAUAUCUAUUAAUAAUAAUAAUACAUGUACUCCGAAAUGGACUGUAAUUACUACGUGUCUGUAACUACACAGGAAAUGGACUGUAAUUACUACGUGUCUGUAACUACACAGGAAAUGGACUGUAAUUACUAGGUGUCUGUAACUACACAGGAAAUGGACAAAUAGACAUGUAAUGUUGUGUAUAUCUCGAGGGAGGAGAGGAGAGGGGAGGAGGAUUGUAAAAGUCAACCGGAGAAGGCAUUGUUUUAAAUAUAUCUAUGUAUUUUUGCUGUAUAUAACAUACAGUAUGAAUUUUGGUUUCAAAUGAAAAUGCAGAUAUAUAUAUAUAUAUUAAAAAAGUGAAUAUUUAUUGCUCUCAUAAUAUAAAACCUGUUCUUGCCGUUGGAAAAAAUAUAAUGUUUGUGUUUUAAUUUGUAACAUCUGUAAAGAAACCAGGGUAUGUACAUGAAAUGUGUGGAAAAGAGGACCAACCAUGGUACGUAUAUAAUUCCCAAUGGUUACCGCUUUUCAUAUGGUCCUUCAACAUGGAUUUGGUUUUCAAUUUACCAGCUCAAUUGGAUAUUAACAGACCAAGUUAUGGGGGUUAUGUGUCUGUGACUGAUAUUAACAGACCAAGUGAUGAGGGUUAUGUAUCUGUGACUGAUAUUAACAGACCCACUGAUGAGGGUUAUGUGUCUGUGACUGAUAUUAACAGACCCACUGAUGAGGGUUAUGUAUCUGUGACUGAUAUUAACAGACCCACUGAUGAGGGUUAUGUAUCUGUGACUGAUAUUAACAGACCCACUGAUGAGGGUUAUGUAUCUGUGACUGAUAUUAA